UGGGGAAUAUUGGACAAUGGGCGCAAGCCUGAUCCAGCCAUGCCGCGUGAGUGAUGAAGGCCCUAGGGUUGUAAAGCUCUUUCACCGGUGAAGAUAAUGACGGUAACCGGAGAAGAAGCCCCGGCUAACUUCGUGCCAGCAGCCGCGGUAAUACGAAGGGGGCUAGCGUUGUUCGGAUUUACUGGGCGUAAAGCGCACGUAGGCGGACUAUUAAGUCAGGGGUGAAAUCCCGGGGCUCAACCCCGGAACUGCCUUUGAUACUGGUAGUCUUGAGUUCGAGCGAGGUGGGUGGAAUUCCGGGUGUAGAGGUGAAAUUCGUAGAUAUUCGGAGGAACACCAGUGGCGAAGGCGGCUCACUGGCUCGAUACUGACGCAGAGGUGCGAAAGCGUGGGGAGCAAACAGG
rnacentral:rRNA from 1 species